AAAAAAAAAGAAAGAAAGACAUAAGUAAUUUAUAUAAAACAUAUCGAAAUUAGACACCCGGAAAUGAAUGAGGCGCCAACUCACAAGUCUUUUUCAUCGAUAUAUCACAAAAGGUUUCUCAUAUGAAUUUUUUUUUUUUUAGCGGUUAACAGAAACUUAUCAAAGGACAAUGACAUCAUUAGUGUUUAAUUGUGACGAUUACACCGCCGACAUUCGCUUUAAGAUUUACAUUAACCGUCUAACCGUCACUUAACCGGCUAGCAGCUACCGGUAUUCAAGUCAUACGCUAUUUAUCUUAAUAACAUUAAAACAUAACGAGUUAAUUCAGACUGAAAGCAGUCGAGUGAUAAUAAACAACUCGAAUAUUGUCAUCAAAUAUAAACGAGAGGCUAACAGAUACACGCUAGCUUAUAAACCCAGAGAGCUACUUACGCGGGAGAAAUCGCGAGCAUUUGAGAAGGAAGAGAGACAUCUCGUACCUGAAUGCCCAAAGAGCCUUCAUCGUCUCGGCUACAAAGUUCCUGUCAGAACAUUGUCCAUUUUGCACUUUUAUAGCGUGAUUCUUGAUAAAACAUGAUAAAUAAUUCUGAAUUUAUUGCACUGUUGGUUAAUGUCUGGAAUGACAGAACGUCCUCUACGGUAUCUUGAUCUCUUCGUAUAGAUGAGCUGCUGCCUCAGUGUCCAGUUUCUGAUGAAAUGGAUCUAGUGACCACACUUACAUCCACAGUUUAUAGAGGGAGGCGUGUUUACCCUGCUCUCUCUCUCUCUCUCUCUCUCUCUCUCUCUCUCUCUCUCUCUCUGUGUGUGUGUGUGUGUGUGUGUGACAUUCUUCUCAAGUUUUUCAGAUAGUCAAACUGUUCAAAGUAAAUGAUAAACCUAAUGAUUCAUUGAAGAAGAUGCUGACUUAAAUGGCACUUUUGAAAUAGUAACACCAAGAUGUAGAUGGGUUUGUUUCUUCAUCAGAUUUGGAGAAAUGUAGCAUUGCAUCACUUGCUCUGCAGUGAAUGGGUGCCGUCAGAAUGAGAGUCCAAACAGCUGAUAAAAACAUCACAAUAAUCCACAAGUAAUCCACAGCACUCCAGUCCAUCAGAUUUCUCUCCUGAUUCAGACCAGAACACUUUUUUUUCACUGGAGGACGUGUUAUUAUGGAUUAUGGACCAGCAAUCUAGUUAAGACAUAACUAAACCCUGAGUAACAGCUGGGCCAUAUUCUGUCCCACUGCAGGUCAAAAAUAAGAUAAUGAAGAUGUUCCUAUAAGAGUCAACCUAAACAUUUCUGUGCCACGAUAUGUUAGAAACAAAUUCCUCUUUUGAGUAUAUAGUUCCCCUUUCUCUGAUUGCGGAGUCCUUUUACCAAAAAUAGUUUCAUCAGAAUGUCAAAUGAGCCAACUGAGCUUCACAAUAGCUCUGUUUGUUUUACUCACAUGUCAAUGUUGCUCGGACUGCUACGCUUGUCAGUGAAAGUUUCUGUUUUGCAGCACACAAAAGCAGUUCCGAGUUUUGUGCCGACUCCCUCUAGACUAUAAAUGAGCGCAUGGCAUCUAAUCUAACAUAACAUCUACAGCCGCUCGGAGUGAACGGCGCUGUUUGAUAACCAUUGUUCUUGGUAUAAUGGUGGUCUGCUUCUGUAGGCUUGCUGAAGGAAGGACACGUGGUUCGCCUGCCAUAUGCAAGAAUACUGCUAUUGAGCAACUGGAAUUCUCCUGAGCUUUAAGGCCCUAAAUACAAUACAAAAUAAAGGAAAUCUCCUAUAACCUAAAGUGUUUCA
ensembl:lncRNA